UAAAAAUUAGUUAAAUAAAUAACAUUAAUUUGUCAAAUUAAAAUCAAUACUUAAAACUAUUAUUUUUAA
rnacentral:tRNA from 1 species